AAGGUCGUAACAAGGUUUUUGCUAAGCAACAGUCCUUCUGUAGCAGAGCUUAACGGAGACCUUGCACCCGAGAGGGGGGACCGACUCUAAAGAACUCCCAGCGCAAGUCAGCACCGCUGGCAACACAAUCGAAUUGCGGGGACGCUUUAAAGCUCACCAGUACCAACUACUCUUCUAGGGUAGGGCUAGCACAGCUAGAGGUCACAAUCUGGUGGGAUGGUACAAUAAGCAAUCCGCAGCGGCUAAGCCGUCCACAGACUAAGUGGUUGUGGGUAGGAGACCCCCUAUCUAAGAUAUAGUCGGGCCUUGUGAGCAAUCACAGGGGUUCUGCGUCCGUAGGUGAACCUGCGGAAGGAUCAUUACAUAAAAGGGAUACCCUCACCGGUAUACCCCACCCGUGUCUAUCUACUCUUGUUGCUUUGGCAGGCCGUGGUCUCCCACUGUGGGCUUUGCCUGCAUGUGCCUGCCAGAGGACCGAAACUCUGAAUUUUCAGUGAUGUCUGAUGUAGCUAUAUAAUAUGUUAAAA
rnacentral:misc_RNA from 1 species